rnacentral:rRNA from 1 species
GACGAACGCUGGCGGCGUGCUUAACACAUGCAAGUCGAACGGUAAAGCGCCUUCCUUUUUGGUGGGUGUGGAUGAGUGGCGAACGGGUGAGUAACACGUGAGUACCCUGCCCCCUUCUUCUGGAUAACCGCAUGAAAGUGUGGCUAAUACGGGAUCUUCUGGGUCUGUCGCAUGAUGGGUCUGGGAAAGAUAUUGUUUCGGUGGGGGAUGGGCUCUCGGCCUAUCAGCUUGUUGGUGGCGUGAUGGCCUACCAAGGCGGUGACGGGUCGACGGCCUGAGAGGGUGGACGGCCUGAGUGGGACGGAGGCACGGUCGAGACUCAGACGGGAGGCAGACUCCGGGAGUAGGGCACAGUGGGGGAAAGUGUGAUGUAGGGACGCGGCGGGAGCGAUGGAGCCCUGUGGGGGGUGAACGCCUUUCGCUAGUGAAGCACGCUCGCCUCGUUUGUAGGUGGGUUGACGGUAGCUGGAGAAGAAGCGCCGGCUAACUACGUG